CAGUCGCCGCGGUAAUACAGAGGGUGCAAGCGUUAAUCGGAAUUACUGGGCGUAAAGCGCGCGUAGGUGGUUUGUUAAGUUGGAUGUGAAAGCCCCGGGCUCAACCUGGGAACUGCAUCCAAAACUGGCAAGCUAGAGUACGGUAGAGGGUGGUGGAAUUUCCUGUGUAGCGGUGAAAUGCGUAGAUAUAGGAAGGAACACCAGUGGCGAAGGCGACCACCUGGACUGAUACUGACACUGAGGUGCGAAAGCGUGGGGAGCAAACAGGAUUAGAGACCCCGGUAGUCCCUGUCUCUUAUAC
rnacentral:rRNA from 1 species